rnacentral:lncRNA from 1 species
AUGUCCCCUGGAGUGUCCUGGAAGGUUUGGGACACGUUCCUGUCCGUGCCUGUGCACUUCACCCUCCUAGCUCCAACUCCCAGGGAAUGGCACAGACUUCCAGGGGAAGGAUUCCACUGGAAACAGCCACCUGCAGGUCCCUCUGGGUCUGUCCCCAAGCCCAGACUGUUCUGCAGGUCCCUCUGGGUCUGUCCCCACACCCAGACCCUCCUGCAGGUCCCUCUGGGUCUGUCCCCAAGCCCAGACCCUNNNNNNNNNNNNNNNCCCAGACCAUCCUGCAGGUCCCACUGGAUUUGUCCCCAGACCCUCCUGCAGGUCCCUCUGGGUCUGUCCCCAAGCCCAGACCAUCCUGCAGGUCCCUGUGGGUUUGUCCUCAAGCCCAGACCCUCCUGCAGGGUCUCCAGGUCUGUCCCCAAGCCCAGACCCUCCUGCAGGUCCCUGUGGGUUUGUCCCCAAGCCCAGACCCUCCUGCAGGUCCCUCUAGGUCUGUCCCCAAGCCCAGACUGUUCUGCAGGUCCCUCUGGGUUUGUCCCCAAGCCCAGACCAUCCUGCAGGUCCCUCUGGGUCUGUCCCCAAGCCCAGACCAUCCUGCAGGUCCCACUGGAUUUGUCCCCAGACCCUCCUGCAGGUCCCUCCAGGCCUGUCCCCAAGCCCAGACUGUCCCCAAGGCCAGCACUACCCUCUGGAAGCCCCAGGACCCCUCUGCUGCAGCCCCAGAGCCACUCUGGGGACACCCAGCAGGGAUUUGUGUCCCCAGCACCUCCCUGCCCCCCCAAAGCCACCUGGAGGGUCCCCAGCCCCACGAGGCUCAUCCGGAGCCUUUGAGGCGCCGCUUCCGCCCUCGCCACAUCUUGAGAGCAGAUUGGGAAAAUGCAAAAAACCUGUGCUUCCCCUCUGGGUGCCUUUAAUCCCUCCACGGGCAGGAAAAGUGGGAUUGUGGCCAGUGCUGGACCUUGGGAGGUGCUGAGACCCCCCCCAGUGGGAUUCAUUAGGGCCCCAUGACCCUAAACAGCCCCCCAAAACCCAGCAGAGGCUCCCCAGAUCCUGAAGAUUCCUCAGGCUGCCCAGCAGCAGGGAGUGAGGAAUGCUGCAAAGGGAAUUCCAUGAAAAAUGGGGCUGGGAAAGGCUGGUGCAGACAGAGAAUGGGGUGGGGUGGCUGGGACUUUGUGGGGGCUGUGGGGAGAGAAGGGGUCAGGGCGAGGGGAUGGGUUUGAGUCUCCUGGGAAGUCUCUGGAGCCACCAGAACCUCUGUCCUCUCCUGUCCCAGUGCCAGGGGAUGGCAAUUCCAGCUGGGAUCCUUCCCUCACCCCAGGGCUGGGGCCUUGUGGGGACU